rnacentral:rRNA from 1 species
CCCGAAACCCCGCAACGGGUUGAUUCAUCGUCAGCGACGGCGGCUUCGCCAUGGCCCGCGAUGCUCGGACUCCGCUUUCGCGGCACGCGGCCGUGCGAUGCCCGUCGUCGAAGACGUGCACUUCACCCCCUGCAGUACGUCGCGACCCGUUGGGCGUCGGUCUACGGCCCGAGUCGGUAGCCUGUCCUCGGCGUUCCCUCGCCGGGGGCAGACCGUCGGUUGCCCGGCCGGCUGCUCGUCGGUACCCAUACGGUAUCUAGCCGCAUCGAAUUGCGUCCAGCCCGUCGCAAGCGAGACCAGCGUUCACCGGUGGUCGGACCAUGCGCCGGCCCCGGAACUGGUCGGCUGUUCGCAGACGGUGCCCUCGGACGGGCUAUAUAUAAAAUACCGGUCGGCGACGCUAUUGCUUCGGGUACUUUCA